AGAUUGAACGCUGGCGGCAUGCCUUACACAUGCAAGUCGAACGGUAACAGGGAGCUUGCUCCGCUGACGAGUGGCGAACGGGUGAGUAACACAUCGGAACGUGCCAUUGAGUGGGGGACAACGUAGCGAAAGUUACGCUAAUACCGCAUAUU
rnacentral:rRNA from 1 species